AACGGGGGGGGCUAGUGUUAUUCAUCAUUACUGGGUGUAAAACGUGUGAAGAUUGCUUUUUAAGUAUUUAUUAAGAUAAUCUAAGCAUAACUUAGAAGUUAAUAAAUAUACUGAUUAGCUUGAGGUUGGAAGGGGGUAAGCUAUAUUUUCGAGGAAGAGAUAAAAUUCUUAGAUCUUGGGGAAAUAACCAGCAGGCGGAAGCCGCUUACCAUGACAACACUGACGUUGUAGCACAAAAGCGUGGGGAUCAAACGGG
rnacentral:rRNA from 1 species